UACGUAGGGUGCAAGCGUUAAUCGGAAUUACUGGGCGUAAAGGGCGCGUAGGCGGUCUUUUAAGUUCCGUGUGAAAUCCCUCGGCUCAACUGGGGAACUGCACGGGAAACUGGAAGGCUUGAGUUCGGGAGAGGGAAGCGGAAUUCCCGGUGUAGCGGUGAAAUGCGUAGAGAUCGGGAGGAAUACCAGCAGCGAAGGCGGCAAACUGGAUAGGAACUGACACUCAACUGCGAAAGCGUGGGGAGCAAACAGG
rnacentral:rRNA from 1 species